rnacentral:pre_miRNA from 3 species
UCUUAUGGAUGAGCAAAGAAAGUGGUUUCUUGAGAUGGAAUUUACUCCUGGUGAAGAUGCUGUGAA